CCCCGGGCUCANCCUGGGAACUGCGUUCUGAACUGGGUGACUAGAGUGUGUCAGAGGGAGGUAGAAUUCCACGUGUAGCAGUGAAAUGCGUAGAGAUGUGGAGGANUACCGAUGGCGAAGGCAGCCUCCUGGGAUAACACUGACGUUCAUGCCCGAAAGCGUGGGUAGCAAACAGGAUUAGAUACCCUGGUAGUCCACGCCCUAAACGAUGUCGAUUAGCUGUUGGGCAGCAUGACUGCUUAGUAGCGAAGCUAACGCGUGAAAUCGACCGCCUGGGGAGUACGGUCGCAAGAUUAAAACUCAAAGGAAUUGACGGGGACCCGCACAAGCGGUGGAUGAUGUGGAUUAAUUCGAUGCAACGCGAAGAACCUUACCUGGUCUUGACAUGUACGGAAUCCUCCAGAGACGGAGGAGUGCCUUCGGGAGCCGUAACACAGGUGCUGCAUGGCUGUCGUCAGCUCGUGUCGUGAGAUGUCGGGUUAAGUCCCGCAACGAGCGCAACCCUUGUCAUUAGUUGCCAUCAUUAAGUUGGGCACUCUAAUGAGACUGCCGGUGACAAGCCGGAGGAAGGUGGGGAUGACGUCAAGUCCUCAUGGCCCUUAUGACCAGGGCUUCACACGUCAUACAAUGGUCGGUACAGAGGGUAGCCAAGCCGCGAGGCGGAGCCAAUCUCACAAAACCGAUCGUAGUCCGGAUUGCACUCUGCAACUCGAGUGCAUGAAGUCGGAAUCGCUAGUAAUCGCAGGUCAGCAUACUGCGGUGAAUACGUUCCCGGGUCUUGUACACACC
rnacentral:rRNA from 1 species